ensembl:lncRNA
AGUGAAAAGUAGCUUGCAAGCCGAAAAAGUGUGGGGACCCCUGCGUUUCGACCACGGCGUUACACACAUGCCAACGUGAGGUCCAACGUAACCUUAGUGGACCGACCAGUAGAGAACACACGGUACUCCAGAGCCUUGGUGUUGAGAGGUACAGCUCGGUUGGGGACAGAACCCUCCACAAACAGCAGUUUGGUGAGUUGUGAAGACACAAAGAGUUCAUGUUUCUAUCUGGGUUUUCCUCUCUGUGUACAAAGUGACGUAGUUCUCAUGAGAGACUCGUCGGAUUGUGGACGUUUUGUAGCCUCUGGUAGAGACCUCUCAAUCAGCGUGUAGCUCCGCCCUAAAGCAUCCCCUGCUUUAUGUUCUGUUUGACUCUAAAUGGACCAUAAUUUACUAAAUAAACAUCCUGCUGUGUUGAAGAAGACCUAAAAGCAGAAAGAAGCCAUAUAAAUGCGGGAUUCUCUUCCAAUGCCAAUUCCAAUUCCAAAGCCUCCCACAAGCUGUUUUUUGCUGUGCAACAACUACUACUCCUCCUCCCCCACCUGAUCCUCGUAGGCCGCAACAACUACCCCCCCUCCUCCCCCCGUCGACCUGUUAUUUAGUUGUGUUUAUCAGCCACACCUUCAAGACCUUCCGCAAAAUAUUGUCUAACAUGAAACCGGUCCGUAAGGCCAAAAAGGUUGAGGACCGCUGCUCUAGAGGAAGUCUUCGUAGUGACGUAGUUCACGCAAUAAAAGAUAAAAGACCACCAGGUGGUUGUGGACUCGUCUUCACAGCCGUCCACUUGUUAUCCUGGGGGAUGUCCAGAUGUUCCAGAGCAACAGCUGGGAACAAGCAGUCCUUUAAGACAAAAUAAUCCCUGUUAUUUUUAACCUUGAAUUAACCUCUACCAUUAGAAUGAUCAACUUACAUAAACACAACUGAGCCUGGGUCAGCUGAGGUCAGGACUCGGGACUCGUGUGAUGUCCAUCAGUAGCAGACAGCUGACUGGGGAUCAGGAUCUGCCAUACGCUCCCACGCUUCCCUCCGUCUGUCCCUCCGUCUCUAAUCACGAUGACCUCUAUCAUGACCUGCAAUCAGCUCAGAGUUCACUAGUGGAAACACUAUGAGGAGUUUUGGACCGUCUCCACAGACCCAAGGACAGAUAAACUGAACGGGAUCAAACAUGUGCACCACGAUCUGAGACAUAGACAGUACAUAGCUGAAUGUGUGUGUAUAUAUGGACAGUAUAUAGCUAAAUGUGGGUCUCCUUUUGUCUCUUAUCGGCUCCUGUUAUCUCUCAUUGUCUCCUAUUGUGCUCUUCUUGUCUCAUUUUUACUCAGAUGUUCCCCUAUUGUCUCCAAAUGUCUUCAUAGGGUGUAGAAGUAACCACCCGUCCUCGGGAAGUUAAGUGAGACAUUCUAAAUGUUUCUCAGAGAUGGAUCCUUGGCUCAUGUGAGAUGAAUCUCUGAGAUCACGAGAGAGAUCAGAUCUCAACUCACUUCUUCGUCGCCGCAAAACUAUUCGUCCUUUCAAGUUUUGAGAUGAAGUUGGCGGGUUAUUUCUCUUAAACUAGCGUUUUAUUUAAAGCUGAGUCUGUCAAAUGGAUGUUUGAUGCGGGUCUCUGGGGGACCAGCGAGAAGCGAGUGAAGGGAGACACGGGCGUCAAUUAAGAGACAGACACUUCAAAAUGGAGGCGAUUAAACUUGGAAAUCUUUAAAAUGCUCCCCAAUGAAUUGUCUUCUCUGAGGAAAAAAGUCCCCAAAGUUCACAGUUUGAUUCCACAGCAAGAAAAGAGGACAGACAAGUGCUAUUUAUUUUCGUGCCAACAUGUCUCCUCCUCAAUGUCCCUGUCUCUGUGCACUUUCAACCUGUCAUAGAUUCUAAAGAGGGACGUCAGGAAAAAAUGAGGCCACCUCGUAUGACACUUUGAAAGACAUGUCCCCUCCUAUGAGACGCUUUAUAAGACAGGACACCUCGUAUGACAUGCUUUAAGAGACAGAAAACCUUGUAUGAGACGUUUAUAAAACAGGACACCUCGUAUGAGACGUUUAUAAGAUAGGAAACUUCUUAUGAGACGUUUAUAAGACAUGACACCUCGUAUGAGACACUUUGAAAGACAGCACACCUCUUAAGAGAGACGUUUAUGAAACAGGACACCUUGUAUGAGACACUUUGAAAGAUAAGACCCUCUUCUAUGUAAUGUAAUGUAAAGUGAAGAAAGAAACUGAGUCUGAAGGUUUCCAACAGAACACUGUGAAGGCUGGAAGAAUCUGAAGGUUCUCAUCAGAACCCCUUGAUGAGAGGAACUGAGUCUGAGGAACUAAGGCUCUCCAGUAGAACCACCACACACCCUGUUUAUUUCCCCAUAUAUUACACGUUUCGUAAAGCUCUUAAACCCUUAAAGAGAUACACACCCUGUUUACUGCGUCUCUUAUCGUCUUUCCCCUCCUGAUUAAAGGGGAGGACAUCUCUGAUUACAGCGAUCACGUUGACUCACUCUUCCAAUAGAUUUGAUUAUAUGGCCUUUAACAUUGUCAAUUGUAUAUUGUAUAUAAUAUACUAAUAAUGAUAUAUUAAUCAUUGAUUAAGAAUGAUAAUAAAUUAUGAUGCAGUAUGAACACAAUCAGAAGAAAAAUAAUAAUUUGCAUACAAGUUAACGAAUGUGUUUGCUGCUGUGGUUUUUAUAGACUGUAUUGAUUGAUUUUUCUUUUAACUCAAAGUUCAUGGCUUCACUGAUUUAAUUUGAAUUUAAAAUAAAAAAAAUGUUCUUCUCUCAGUCUGAAAUAUGUCAUGCUCCGGAGGUGAAGUAUAUCUUAAAUUAAAUGAAAUAGAUAGAAGAUAACUUUCUCUGUCUGCAUUUUAUACAUUUUUCAGGUUUUAAGGUUUUUACGGUCAGGCGCAGGUUGCUAGGCAGCGGGAGCGGCAGAAAAGCUGGACCGUAGGACAGGCCGCCAUUUCAGGGACCGCUUCGUUCACCCUAUGUGGUCCUUGAAGGACCCGGCCAGACCAGAGGGGUCCUUCAAGGAUGCACCCGACUAGAUACAGCUACUGUUUUGACCCUAUAGUAAAGAUGACCUGGACUACAUUACCCAUAAUCCUCUGUUGAUGCAAUUUAAUGAAAUAUAAGUUUAUGAACUAUACAUGUAAAGACAAAACAAAAUAUUUUCUGAAAUCAAUCAUUGUUUUAUAUGGACUGAAAUAUGAGCACUAAUCUAAAUAUAUUGUGAAAAAGUGUCACCUCAAAGGCAUGGAUCCAUCCAUCCAUCCAUCCAUCCAUCGUCAAACCGCUUAUCCUGCACACAGGGUCACGGGGCGGCUGGAGUCCAUCCCAGCCAACUUCGGGCGAGAGACGGGGUACACCCUGGAUUGGUCACCAGCCAAUCGCAGGGCUAUACAGAGACACACAACCAUUCACACUCACAUUCAUACACAAUUUAGAGUCCCCAAUUGACCUGAUCCCCAGAGCAUGUCUUUGGACUGUGGGAGGAACCCGGAGAACCCGGAGAGAACCCACGCAGACACGGGGAGAACAUGCAGACUCCACACAGAAAGGCCACUGGGCGGAAUCGAACCCAGGACCUUCUUGCUGUGAGGCAACAGUGCAAACCACCACACCACCGUGACGCCGCCAAAGGCAUGGAUGACAAAGAAAAAAAGUCGUCCAAUUACACAGUAGGAUAAUUGAGCUCUCGGCUAGAUAAUGAGGUCUAAAGCCCCCCCCCCAGGAUAAUCCGCCCGGUUAAUGACCUCAUCACAUGUCGAUCUCCAGAAUCAGAGUGUUCAAACAGAGCAUAAGUACACAGGGGGGGCUGGAAGAAGGAGUUAGAGGUCUGAACUGAAUUCUCUCUGCUGAUUUAAAUCCUCAUAUUUAGUGUAAUUAUGACAACAAAAUCAAAUAAACACUGAUGUUUUCAGUCUGAAUCACAACCAUUAGAUGUAUUACAUUACAGGUAAUUUAGCUGACGCUUUUAUCCAAAGUGACUUACAUCGCAUUUUUAACCCAUGGCUUUCUACAUUUUUGCCCGGGGAGCAAUUAGGGGUUAGGUGUCUUGCUCAGGGACACUUUGACAUGGGACAUGAAGCAGCUGGGGCUCAAACCCCCAACCUUGCGGUUCCCGGCGCACCCUCUCUACCCCAACACGUCCUGAGAGAUGGACUGGGACAGCAUCUCAGACACCAGGUUCAUGUGUCCCUGAUUGCGAAAGCGAGACAGCAACAAUGGGUCCGUCUGCCAGGAACAAAUGUCCCCCCAGAGGUGAGAGCAGCUGAGCAAUACCUCCGUCAAUACGCAGAUUAUAGACCUGAUCAAUAUCUCCAUCAAUACACAGAUCAUAAACCUGAUCAAUACCUCCGUCAAUAAGCAGAUCAUAGACCUGAUCAAUAUCUCCAUCAAUACACAAAUCAUAAACCUGAUCAAUACCUCCGCCAAUAAGCAGAUCAUAGACCUGAUCAAUAUCUCCAUCAAUACACAGAUCAUAAACCUGAUCAAUACCUCCGUCAAUACACAGAUCAUAAACCUGAUCAAUACCUCCGUCAAUAAGCAGAUCAUAGACCUGAUCAAUAAAACAUUUCUGCUCUGUUAUUAUUAGUCAUGGAGUUAUUAAUAUAUUUUCAAUGGCUCCAAUAAUAAUAUUAUAUCAUACUGCAUAGUAUGAUAUAAAAUGAUAUAAUGUAAAUUAAUACAGUAAACUGUAAUAUUAAGUUAUAGUAUUUGAUAAAAUAAUACAAAGUAAUACAACACAAUGUAAUAUAAUGUAAUACAAUACAAUAUAACACAAUGUAUAAUGACAGUCAGCCCAUUUAACAGUUUUUUGUGCUUCGCAGGUCUCCAUAGAUCGUGGCUACUGGUACACAGGCACCUAGGCUACUGGUACAGUGGUACACAGGCUACUGGUACACAGGCUACAGGUACACAGGCUACUGGUACAGUGGUAUACAGGCUACACUGGUACACUGGUACACAGGCUACACUGGUUUACAGGCUACUGGUAGACUAGUACACAGGCUACACUGGUAUACAGCCUACUGGUACAAUGGUACACUGGUAUACAGGCUACACUGGUCGGCUAGUACACAUGCUACACUGGUAUACAGCCUACUGGUACACUGGUACACGGGCUACUGGUACUCUGGUAUACAGGCUACGCUGGUAUACAGGCUACACGGGUAUACAGGCUACUGGUACACGGGCUACUGGUACUCUGGUAUACAGGCUACGCUGGUAUACAGGCUACACUGGUACACACGUUACUGGUACACUGGUAUACGGGCUACUGGUACACUGGAUACUGUAAGAUGAGGCCGUCAAGCAAAGGAAGUGAAGAGACGGUGGACAGUAACCCUUGAGUGGAGGAAAGAUCUUGUGGCUGAUUGUGUGAUGAUCACCCCCCCCCUCCCCCCAUCUGCCCGAGGACCUGGGCCACUUUCUUUUGUUUGCUCGGAUAUCAAUGAUAUUGUAAUUACCAUGUAAUUACAAUAUCAUUGCACUCCCAUCACACCCGUCACUAAUGAGCAUGAAUCCCACUUCCUGCUGCAGAGUCCACUAACCGAAGCUGGAUUAGACAAUGGGCCCCGGGGCACAGACAUGAGGAAGCCACCCCCGCCCUCCCUUUAUCCCUCCUUCAUAAGAGAAAGACCCUAAGACUGAAAAGGACACACAAAAACAAAGAGACACAAAAAUGAGCAUAAAGAAAAACAAAAUACACACAAAGAGACGUAUUAUGGUUGUUUGCUUGGUGGUGUUGUGGUCUUUUUGUUAUCGUUUUGAGGUUUGAGUCUCCUUAAUGUAGUUCUUUGGCUAUUUUGUGUUUUUUUGUGUUUUUUAAUGUUGUUUUGUUGUUCUGUUUUUUUUUUUCUUGGUAUUUUGUUGGUUCGUUUUGUCAAACUUUGUGUUUGUUUUGUAGUAGUUGUGUUUAUUGUGCACGAGGCCCCCAGGGCCCGUUCAGUAAUCCAUGCUGCUAAUAUCAGGAUGACGGGAGUCGGCAGCAGAGAUAUAAAUACCCCGGUGGAGGUAGUUGCAUGUGUAGCAUGCUGUUAUUGUCUCGGAGCUGUCAGCACGUUUGAAGAGACGACUAUGCAUCGCUGCUCCGUACACAAACGUGACACAAGAUCGGACGUGUGCGUGAAUCCUGUU